CUUGAUGAUCUGUGAAAUAGAUUUAGGAGUGGGACUGGGGAUUCUAAUUUAUUGAUUUUGAACAUUUCCAAUAAACAUGUGUGUUUGAACAAACUGUGUAUGGUCAAUUCUGCUAGAGUCCAAGUUUCUAUCAAAGAUUUGGAAGAUGGGUAACUACACUUGGGGAGACUGUCAAGGAUGUCAGAGAGUUCAGAUAGUGCAACAUUGACAUUACCACUUGGAGGACGGUACAUUACACCAACUGUUACUGGGGAAGUUGUACUACUUACGGCCACAAAAAGAGUUUCUAAAUGUUCAGUGAUAUGGGAUACAUUGCCGUUUACUCUGGCACUAAGAGUGUCACAAACAUAGAGAGCCACUCCAGUGCCCUUUUUUUUAUCUGGUAUUGUGUUUUGGUAGAAACUGUUGUAUCCAGUUAAUUGAUACAAACUGCUGGAUUCAGGACCUUCAUUUGUUUCCGCUAAGGCUAUGAUCGAGAAUUUCUUGG